GGCUUCAUAGCUCAGUUGGUAGAGCAACGCACUAGUAAACGCGGAGGUCAUGGGUUCAAAUCCCGUUUGAAGCCA
rnacentral:tRNA from 1 species